GGCCCGCACAGAGCCCUGACCUCAACCCCAUCAAACAUCUUUGGGAUGAAUUUGACCACUGACUGCUAGCCAGGACUAAUCACCCAACAUCAGUGCCCGACCUCACUAAUGCUCUUGUGGCUGAAUGGAAGCAUGUCCCUGCAGCAAUGUUCCAACAUCUAAUGGAAAACCUUCCCAGAGUGGAGUGGAGGCUAUUACAGAAGCAAAGGGGGACCAACUCCAUAUUAAUGCCCAUGAUUUUUGGAAUGAGACGUUUCGAACAAGCAUGUGUCCACAUACUUUUGGUCAUGUAGUGUAGCAUAAGGUUUCGGCAGCUUCGCUGCUUGAACCCCUAAUAAUGACCAGCAACAUCAACAUAUACAGUAGGGUUUCGCCAGCUUCGCUGCUUGAACCUCUAAUAAUGACCAGCAACAUCAACAUAUACAGUAGGGUUUCGUCAGGUUUGCUUUAUCAUCUAUUCAUUAAUGAGGCAGUCUAGACAGCACAUGAUUAGAGGUAGCCUAGACAGAGAAAGUUUAGACAAAACAAUCAUUAGUCCCUAUUAAGAAUGACUGCGGUCAUCACUCAACUUUUGGGAGUCAAUGUGGCUGAGAAGUCACAAGAAUGUUCAUAAGAAGGGCGUGACGUGACUGCGUGACAGAUGUGUAAACCCGUGAUUCAGAUGGAUUUGAUACAAUUAAAGCUCUUUGGAGUAUGUUCAUCCACUGUCCAACUGUUACUUUUGAUGACUAUUGGUAGUGUGUGUGUGUGUGUGGGGGGGUGUGGGUGUGUACAGUGAGUGUACAAAACAUUAGGAACACCUUCCUAAUGUUGAGUUGCACCCCAUUUUCCCAUCAGAACCGCCUCAAUUCGUCAGGGCACGGGCAUGGACUCUACAUAUUUAUCUUGGCCUGGUCGCAAUUGUAAAUGAGAACUUGUUCUCAACUUGCCUACCUGGUUAAAUAAAGGUGAAAUAAAAAAUAAAUAAAACAUGGUGUCAAAUGCAUUCUACAGGGAUGCUGGCCCAUGUUGACUCCAAUGCUUCCCACAGCAGAGUUGCAGUUCUUGACACAUUCAAACCGAUGUGCCUGGCACCUACUAUCAUACCCCGUUCAAAGGCACUUAAAUAUUUUGUCUUGCCCAUUCACACUUUGAAAGGCACAAAUACACAAUCCCAUGUUUUAAUUGUUUCAAAGCUUAAAAAUACUUAUUUCAAAUUUCUACAAUGAUUGAAGUGGAUUUAAUAAGGGAUCAUAGCUUUCUUCUGGUCAGUCUAUGCCAUGGAAAGAGCAGGUGUUCCUAAUUUUUUUUACACUCGGUGUAUGUGGGUGUAGCAAUGGUCAUGCCCCAAAUUGCUGCACACAAGCAUGAGCCCAGGGUCCUAUUCAUUUGGCACCAAAUGUUAGAAAAUGGACUGGAAAAUGGAGGGACUACGUCCAUGUUCCGUUGCAAAACAUAUACAACAUUGCAUUCCCUAAUGAACAUGACCCAGGUAAAGGCCAUCGGAAAACCCUCCUGGCCCUAGUACUGGCUAUGGGGUGUUUGUGUUCGAGACAAGGCGGUGUGGGAUCCUGGCAGUAAGAGGAGACCCAGCCUGUUGGGUGUUGGCCAGCCACGGAGGACUACCCCACUAUUAAUAGCUAUUAGCUGCAUGGCGAAUCUUAAGAAAGACCAUGGGCCUCCCACACACAAUCGUCUACUCAGACUCUCACAAACACACACAUGCACACAAACACACACACUCACUUGCAGAUGCAGACUUAUACAAUUGCACUCGCUGACACACAGUCAAGGGAAACUCGCACACUCAAACACUGACACGCAGACUAUUGUGCAUAAGCCUACUGAAGGAGCAUGCACAUUCUGUUACAAUUCCUCUCCCUCUCCCCCUAGCCCUCUUUCUUUAUCUCUCGAUCGCUCUCUCUCACACACACACACACAUACAGACACACACACACAGACUGGGUUAGAGUGUGUCAGUAGUGUUCACUAAGACAACGGCGGUGGCCUGCUGUGGAUUCCGCUGGCCUCUCUUGGACCAGGGCCAUACACAUUCCUGCUUCCCCCAGGUUGCCAUUGGUUCAGCUCAGCCAGUGCACUCUGUCACCCCGCAAGUUUGUGUGUGUGUGUGCAUAUGUUCCUUUACACAAGCGUGUGUGUGUGCACGUUCCUUCAUUCAUGCAUGUUUGUGUGCGUGCGUGCAGUUCUUUCGUUCGUGCAUGUUGGUUCAUGUUUGUGUGCGUGCAGUUCUUUCGUUCGUGCAGUUCUUUCAUUCGUGCAUGUUGGCUCAUGUUUGUGUGCGUGCAGUUCUUUCGUUCGUGCAUGUUGGUUCAUGUUUGUGUGCGUGCAGUUCUUUCGUUCGUGCAGUUCUUUCAUUCGUGC
ensembl:lncRNA